rnacentral:rRNA from 1 species
GGUCCAGACUCCUACGGGAGGCAGCAGUGGGGAAUAUUGGACAAUGGGGGGAACCCUGAUCCAGCGACGCCGCGUGAGUGAAGAAGUAUUUCGGUAUGUAAAGCUCUAUCAGCAGGGAAGAAGAAAUGACGGUACCUGACUAAGAAGCCCCGGCUAACUCCGUGCCAGCAGCCGCGGUAAUACGGAGGAUGCGAGCGUUAUCCGGAUUUAUUGGGUUUAAAGGGAGCGUAGACGGUUACGCAAGUCUGGAGUGAAAGGCGGGGGCCCAACCCCCGGACUGCUUUGGAAACUGUAUAACUGGAGUGCAGGAGAGGUAAGUGGAAUUCCUAGUGUAGCGGUGAAAUGCGUAGAUAUUAGGAGGAACACCAGUGGCGAAGGCGGCUUACUGGACUGUAACUGACGUUGAGGCUCGAAAGCGUGGGGAGCAAACGGGAUUAGAUACCCCAGUAGCC